GGCUGAAGGAAAAAGAGAAGCAGACAGGGGACUCUGCAUCUGUCGACACCAGAAACGAUGACCAGCGUAAAGAGGAUGUCAUGUACGCCUCUAUUAACCACAGCAAUAUCAAAGGAACAAGAGCUACAGCCAGC